GACGAACGCUGGCGGCGUGCUUAACACAUGCAAGUCGAACGGAAAGGCCCAGCUUGCUGGGUGCUCGAGUGGCGAACGGGUGAGUAACACGUGGGUGAUCUGCCUCUAACUUCGGGAUAAGCUUGGGAAACUGGGUCUAAUGCCGGAUAGGACAAUCGUUUAGUGUCGGUUGUGGAAAGUUUUUUCGGUUAGGGAUGAGCCCGCGGCCUAUCAGCUUGUUGGUGGGAUAAUGGCCUACCAAGGCGUCGACGGGUAGCCGGCCUGAGAGGGUGGACGGCCACAUUGGGACUGAGAUACGGCCCAGACUCCUACGGGAGGCAGCAGUGGGGAAUAUUGCACAAUGGGCGCAAGCCUGAUGCAGCGACGCCGCGUGGGGGAUGACGGCCUUCGGGUUGUAAACCUCUUUCGACAGGGACGAAGCUUUGGUGACGGUACCUGUAUAAGAAGCACCGGCUAACUACGUG
rnacentral:rRNA from 1 species